AUACUAAGUGUUUGGGAGAGUACAACACAGCAGAGCUUCCAGUCUAGAGGACUCCACAUAUCCAGUUGAAGAUAGCCUGGAAACAAGAGGAAAUAUGAGAUUGUAAAGCAGAGUUAUAACAAGAGAUGGUAAAUCCAAAGUGGAAGAAUUCAGCCUGGUUCCUGGAUUUCCACCCAAAGCACUUAGCUGUAAUAUUGCAGGAGCAGAGGAAGCAGACUAUGGUGAAACCAGUGCAGUAAAGACUACGGACAUUGAAGUUUGCCAAAGAAAGGAAUCGCUUCUAUUAACUCAGAGCUGGAG